AGAGUUUGAUCCUGGCUCAGGAUGACCUCUAGCGGCAGGCUUAACACAUGCAAGUCGAGGGGCAGCGGGGAGGAAGCUUGCUUUCUCCGCCGGCGACCGGCGCACGGGUGAGUAACACGUAUGCAACCUGCCCCUGUCAGGGGGACAACCCGCCGAAAGGCGGGCUAAACCCGCGUACAUGCCACCGGGGCAUCCCGGAGGCAGGAAAGGCUUCGGCCGGACAGGGAUGGGCAUGCGGCGCAUUAGGCAGUAGGCGGGGUAACGGCCCACCUAACCGACGAUGCGUAGGGGUUCUGAGAGGAAGGUCCCCCACACUGGUACUGAGACACGGACCAGACUCCUACGGGAGGCAGCAGUGAGGAAUAUUGGUCAAUGGUCGGGAGACUGAACCAGCCAAGCCGCGUGAGGGAGGAAGGUACAGAGUAUCGUAAACCUCUUUUGUCAGGGAACAAAGGCGGGGACGUGUCCCCGGAUGAGUGUACCUGAAGAAAAAGCAUCGGCUAACUCCGUGCCAGCAGCCGCGGUAAUACGGAGGAUGCGAGCGUUAUCCGGAUUUAUUGGGUUUAAAGGGUGCGCAGGCGGUCUGUUAAGUCAGCGGUCAAAGCCCGGGGCUCAACCCCGGCCCGCCGUUGAAACUGGCAGUCUCGAGUUGGAGAGAAGUAUGCGGAAUGCGCGGUGUAGCGGUGAAAUGCAUAGAUAUCGCGCAGAACUCCGAUUGCGAAGGCAGCAUGCCGGCUCCACACUGACGCUGAGGCACGAAAGCGUGGGUAUCGAACAGGAUUAGAUACCCUGGUAGUCCACGCAGUAAACGAUGAAUGCUGGCUGUCCGGGGGGAUUGACCCCUGGGUGGCGAAGCGAAAGCGAUAAGCAUUCCACCUGGGGAGUACGCCGGCAACGGUGAAACUCAAAGGAAUUGACGGGGGCCCGCACAAGCGGAGGAACAUGUGGUUUAAUUCGAUGAUACGCGAGGAACCUUACCCGGGCUCAAACGGGGAGUGACUCAGGCAGAGACGCCUGUUUCCCACGGGACACUCCCCGAGGUGCUGCAUGGUUGUCGUCAGCUCGUGCCGUGAGGUGUCGGCUUAAGUGCCAUAACGAGCGCAACCCCCGCGUGCAGUUGCUAACAGAUAACGCUGAGGACUCCGCACGGACUGCCGGCGCAAGCCGCGAGGAAGGCGGGGAUGACGUCAAAUCAGCACGGCCCUUACGUCCGGGGCGACACACGUGUUACAAUGGGUGGUACAGCGGGAAGCCAGGCGGCGACGCCGAGCGGAACCCGAAAUCCACUCUCAGUUCGGAUCGGAGUCUGCAACCCGACUCCGUGAAGCUGGAUUCGCUAGUAAUCGCGCAUCAGCCAUGGCGCGGUGAAUACGUUCCCGGGCCUUGCACACACCGCCCGUCA
rnacentral:rRNA from 1 species